GACUUAUCUCACCAUAAACCCACAAAGGCAGAAAAAGAAAGACUGAGAGAGAGAGAGAGAGAGAGAGAGAGAGUCUGAGAUCCUGCAGGAGAACCCUUGAAGAACCAUGAGUGGAGCUGAAAAAACUCUGGAAGAAAAGGAAAAUUAACCAACAAAAUUUUCACGCCACCAAAGCUCCUUGAACAGCAGGCCAAAGUUUCCAGUGUUCCACCCAUCUGCUGGUGCAUCCACUGUACUCCAGCAUGUGCCAUACUCUGCCAGGAGAAAUCCAAACCAGGAGAGACGGGGGAUGCAAGACUCUCCAGCCGCUGGGCCAACGAGAAAAACAAGCCUUUGGAACUAAAAAGAGAUGGAGCUGAGUGCCUUAAUUGGACACAGCAGGCCUAGAAGAAAAAGACAUAACAUAAAAAUAGAGAGAGAUUUUUGGAGAGCUGCAAUGGAGUCAAUGAAAAGAAACUAGAAGCAUUUCAUUUCAUGCCAAGGUUUCUGAUCUAAAAAGCAUGUUUGACCCAAAUUUAUUUAAUUGUAAGUCUAGGUGCUUCAUCUGAUUGUUUGCCUUCACCCCACACCCUCAGUUUGUGCUUUCUUGCACACACUUAACAUUUAACUUUAAAACCUGUAAUAAAACAUAAAAAUGCAUCAAGUCAUUUUCGAGGAAUAUGAAUUGGCCUUCUUUUGUAAACAAUACAGAUGAUUGUAAUAAAUUAUACUGGGCCAGAUUCAUAAAACUCACCAGAAAGAGUUCCAUGUUACGCAAAAAUGCAUACAUAAAGUCAUGAAGGUGAUAAUCGCAUCAGUGUCUUUUAACGCUGUGGUAUUUUCACCUGUGUCCUAGGCAAGAGACAGUUAAAAUCCCCAUGUAUAUGAUGUCAUACAUAUUAAAGACUCAUACCAAGUGAA